rnacentral:rRNA from 1 species
UUUUAGAGUUUGAUCUGGCUCAGGAUGAACGCUGGCGGCGUGCCUAAUACAUGCAAGUCGAGCGAACAGACGAGGAGCUUGCUCCUUUGACGUUAGCGGCGGACGGGUGAGUAACACGUAGGUAACCUACCUAUAAGACUGGGAUAACUUCGGGAAACCGGAGCUAAUACCGGAUAAUAUUUCGAACCGCAUGGUUCGAUAGUGAAAGAUGGCUUUGCUAUCACUUAUAGAUGGACCUGCGCCGUAUUAGCUAGUUGGUAAGGUAACGGCUUACCAAGGCAACGAUACGUAGCCGACCUGAGAGGGUGAUCGGCCACACUGGAACUGAGACACGGUCCAGACUCCUACGGGAGGCAGCAGUAGGGAAUCUUCCGCAAUGGGCGAAAGCCUGACGGAGCAACGCCGCGUGAGUGAUGAAGGUCUUCGGAUCGUAAAACUCUGUUAUUAGGGAAGAACAAACGUGUAAGUAACUGUGCACGUCUGACGGAC